rnacentral:lncRNA from 1 species
UAGAAAAAGCACUUCCAUGUGAAAAGUUCAGAGCCUGGACAAAUCCAGAAAAGAUCACUAAGUGAAGUUCAACUUUUCCUUUCCAGAGUGAAGCUGGCAAAGAGUUAUGGCUUAGAGUCUUUUCUUUGAAGUUGAGGAAUGACUGGUGGUUUUUGGAAGCCAAGGCCGACUUUUCUGGGAUGUCAACUAGGAAGAAUAUGCCCUGGUUCCAGCUGACCCACAUGUGCUUUGCAGAGGCCAGGGAGGAAGGCGCAGGGUAACUGUGGCCUGCACAGUGGUCAGGAGUGCCCUGGGCAGCAGAACAGAACAGAAUAAAAUUUUGCACAGACCACUCUUUCCUUUUCUUCAUCAGGCACCACAAAACCAGCAGCAUUUUA